rnacentral:rRNA from 1 species
UACGUAGGGUGCAAGCGUUGUCCGGAAUUACUGGGCGUAAAGCGUGCGUAGACGGUUGCGUAAGUCAGAUGUGAAAGCCCCCGGCUCAACCGGGGAGGGUCGUCGGGGACGGGUGCGCUUGAGGGUAUCAGGGGCUGGUGGAAUUCCCGGUGUAGCAGUGAAAUGCGUAGAGAUCGGGAGGAACACCAGUGGCGAAGGCGGCCUUCUGGACCAAUACUGACGCUCAUGCACGAAAGCGUGGGGAGCAAACAGG